rnacentral:rRNA from 1 species
UACGUAGGGUGCAGGCGUUAAUCGGAAUUACUGGGCGUAAAGCGUGCGCAGGCGGCUCCUUAAGUCAGAUGUGAAAUCCCCGGGCUUAACCUGGGAACUGCGUUUGAAACUGGGGAGCUCGAGUGUGGAAGAGGGGGGUGGAAUUCCAGGUGUAGCAGUGAAGUGCGUAGAGAUCUGGAGGAACACCGAUGGCGAAGGCAGCCCCCUGGGCUAACACUGACGCUCAUGCACGAAAGCGUGGGGAGCAAACAGG